GACACUCCAGCAGCUUGGCCCCAUUGGCCGUCA
rnacentral:sRNA from 1 species